rnacentral:rRNA from 1 species
AAAACAUAGCUCUAGUAAAAAAUCUAAAGUGUAACCUGCCCAGUGAUCUUUAAUUAAUGGAAAAAAAGUCCUAAAACAAGAUUAAAAGGACGCGGUAACCUUGACCGUGAUAAUGUAGCAUAAUCACUCGCCAUUUAAUUGGUGGAUAGUAUGAAUGGUUGAACGAAUAUUCCACUGUCUUAGAAAGAAUUAAACGAAAAUGAAAUAAUAGUUAAGAUGCUAUUUUAAACUGUAAGACGAAAAGACCCUAUAGAGCUUAACUAUAGCCUCUAUAUUUAUAAAAGAAAAUUAAUUCUAAAGUUAUAGAGGUUGGUAGUUUAGUUGGGGCGACUGUCUUCUAAAUGAAACGAAGACAAGCAAUGUUAAUAAAAAACUUAUUGUAUAACGAAAAAGUUUAACAAUUAUAAUAAUAGGCUAUAAUGACCCGUUAGAAUAUUAAAAAAUUUCUAACGAUCAAUUAAUAAAAGCUACCUUAGGGAUAACAGGAUAAUUUUAUUUUAGAGUUCCCAUCGAAAAUAAAGUUUGUCACCUCUAUGUUGAAUUAAGAUAUCCUGAUAAUGCAGCAGUUAUCAAU